UACGUAGGCAGCGAGCGUUGUUCGGAGUUACUGGGCGUAAAGAGUGCGUAGGCGGUUUUCUAAGUUUGGUGUGAAAUCUCCCGGCUUAACUGGGAGGGUGCGCCGAAAACUGGAAAGCUGGAGUGUGGGAGAGGUAAGCGGAAUUCCUGGUGUAGCGGUGAAAUGCGUAGAUAUCAGGAGGAACACCUGCGGUGUAGACGGCUUACUGGACCACGACUGACGCUGAGACACGAAAGCGUGGGUAGCAAACAGG
rnacentral:rRNA from 1 species